GGGCCUAUAGCUCACUUGGCUAGAGCGUCCGCCUGAUAAGCGGAAGGUUGUUGGUUCGAUUCCAACUAGGCCCACCA
rnacentral:tRNA from 1 species